rnacentral:tRNA from 1 species
GUCGGGAUGGCCGAGUGGUCUAAGGCGCCAGGCUUAAUUAACCCAUGCACGGAAGAAUUGUAAUCCAUGUAUAUUCAUGUGGUCGUGGAUUCGAACCCCCUCCUGACA